UGAAAAGCGUUUAAAUGCUAGUUCCUCACCGGCAUGGUGUUAUUUGAGCAGGUCAUGCCUAUGUUUCUGUCUUUCCUCCCUAUUUUGCCACGUCCCCUAAGCCGGACACUCCCCGAGGAACCCUGCCCUGAUAACACUAGAGAGAACGGUUCUUCACCCAGCUUGCUUCCUUGACUUCCAGCAGCAUGUGUGGCAGAGGUCAAAGCCAUCAGUAACUUUCCACUUGGACAUAUAAGCCUUGCUGAAUUCAUUACACAGUUCCAGUCACGGGACCCCAUUUAAGCCACGAGGCAUUUGCACUGAAGUGGGCAGCCAACUGUCCCCUGACAGCCCCUCGGAAUUCUCACCAUCACCGAUGAGAACAAGAGUAGAAUGGCCGGUUGCUUUCCCGUCUUGAAUCUGGAAUGUGUAUGUCCCCUCAUCCUCAUCCUGCAGCUUCUCCAUGAACAUUUCAAUCACGCCAGUAUUUCGGUCAACAUGCAUCUUGUAUUUCUUCAUGUGAAGAGCUAAACAUGAUCUUCAGCAUUGCUCCCCGCCUAAAGCCUACGGCCCUCAUCUAUCAACACGGGUAUUGUGUGCCUCGCUUGGCUGUCAGACCAUUAUCUGUGGUACAGCAGGAUACGUUAACAUACAUGGUGAUGGUCAAUGGUUGGAAGGAUCCACUACACUGGAUUAUCUCCCUGUGUAAUGCCUGUGCCUUCGGAGAUAGGCUUCUGCCUUGCUUUCUGUUUCAUCCCUGGCAUCCAGGACCGUGUCUGGAACACAGUACAUGAGUUAAUGAACAAAUCAAUCAUUGUGUUUUCUCAUUUUGACAAGCUCCACCACUAGUCAUGGUAUCAUUUAAGAGCAACCAAACAUUUAAAUGUUAAGUGAAUAAACCAGAAGAAAAGUUGA